AAAUGGACGUUGUAUUUUCAUAAAGCAUUCAAACCUAGGGAAAUGGAAUCUUAUCUCAACAUCUCACCACAGCAGAAGUUCACAUUCAUUCCGGACAGCUGGGCAAUUGGAUGCAAAGACAGACUGACGCGGAAUUUGCAAAACAUGGCGCUGAUUCACGGAAAAAAGGAAUACGGCUUUUAUCCAACUACUUUUCUUCUUCCAACUGACGUCAACCAGCUUCGACAGUUUUUACCCAGCAGCACUGAAGACCAUGUCUGGAUUGUCAAACCGUACUGUUACAGUAAAGCAGUUGGAAUAUAUAUGACACGAAAGUGGCAAGACGCCAGCAGGUUCCGAAAUGCUGUCG